UACGGAGGGUGCAAGCGUUGUUCGGAUUUAUUGGGCGUAAAGCGAGUGUAGGCGGUUUGACAAGUCGGCUGUGAAACCCCGAGGCCCAACCUCGGAACUGCAUCCGAUACUGUCAGGCUAGAGUCCCGGAGAGGGUGGCGGAAUUCCCGGUGUAGGGGUGAAAUCCGUAGAUAUCGGGAGGAACACCAGUGGCGAAGGCGGCCACCUGGACGGUGACUGACGC
rnacentral:rRNA from 1 species